rfam:Aedes albopictus isolate Foshan contig43610, whole genome shotgun sequence.
UGUUCAGUGGCUUAGUUGGUUAAAGCGCCGGUCUAGCGAAUACGGAGUCGUGGGUUCGAAUCCCACCAGAACGC